rnacentral:rRNA from 1 species
GACGAACGCUGGCGGCGUGCCUAAUACAUGCAAGUCGAGCGGACAGAAGGGAGCUUGCUCCCGGAAGUUAGCGGCGGACGGGUGAGUAACACGUGGGCAACCUACCCUGUAGAUCGGGAUAACAUCGAGAAAUCGGUGCUAAUACCGGAUAAUCAUUUGAAGUGCAUGCUUCGAAUGUAAAAGAUGGCUCCGGCUAUCACUACGGGAUGGGCCCGCGGCGCAUUAGCUGGUUGGUUAGGUAAUGGCUUACCAAGGCAACGAUGCGUAGCCGACCUGGGAGGGUGAUCCGCCACACGGGGGCUGGGACACGGCCCAGACCCCUACGGGAGGCAGCAGUAGGGAAUCUUCCGCAAUGGACGAAAGUCUGACGGAGCAACGCCGCGUGAGUGAUGAAGGUUUUCGGAUCGUAAAGCUCUGUUGUUAGGGAAGAACAAGUGCCGUUUGAAUAAGGCGGCACCUUGACGGUACCUGACCAGAAAGCCACGGCUAACUACGUGCCAGCCGCCGCGGUAACAC